UACUGCUGUGUCACUCUAGCGUCAGUAAACAAAUAACUACAGCGUGACUGAAGACCUGAGCUUCAAGACGGACCCAUAGAGAAAAACUUAUAGCACGGAUCAUGCUGUGACUGAUAUUCUCUGCGCUGCAUCAUGCAGCUAACUGGCUGGUGUCUUGCUGUGGCUCCUCUGAGAGGGACAAAUCAUCCACUGGAUGUAAAGGAGGGAGAGUGUGGACAGUUUCCAGCAAUGAAAAACCAUCAAGUCAGGAUCUGUCAUAAUGCUUCGUAGCAAGCUGGACACCUGCAGCAUGUUAGCAUUCAUUUUGUGCUGUGUUGUACCUUUUAUAAUGACGACGUGUCUGAAAAGCUCCUUGAUAGGAAGCGGGAUAAUGUCUGACAAUUUACAAGGGCACCACUGACUAAUGUAUGCAAAAAUGUGAUGUAAUCAACCCAAUAUAUUA